rnacentral:misc_RNA from 1 species
AUUUCCCAGUUGAAAACUACUUUAUUCGUCUCGAACCUGAGGAAGUUGUUUGCUUGGCAAUUCUGGGGACUCCUCAAUCUGCUCUUUCCAUAAUUGGAAACUAUCAGCAGCAGAAUUUCCACAUCUUAUAUGAUACAAAGAAUUCUAGGCUGGGAUAUGCACCAAUGAACUGUGCAGAUGUAUAACAUUUUUCUACGAAUGAAAUGGUAGCUAGGGGGAGAAGCAGCACUCAGUCAUUGGUGUUUCUUGGGGGGCAAUUUUUGGUUUUCCUUUCAAAACAGGCCUAGCAAUAGCAUACAGAAAGUUAGAUUCAUUAUUAUUUUUUUUCUUUCUUUUUUCACAUAAUUAUACCAUAGACAUG